rnacentral:rRNA from 1 species
CUAGUGGCGGACGGGUGAGUAACACGUUGGAACCUGCCCCAAAGUGAGGAUAAGCCACCGAAAGGUGGUCUAAUACUUCAUAAUAUCCAUCUCGUAUGGAUUAAAGCUUUAUGCGCUUUGGGAGGGGCCUGCGUAACAUUAGCUUGUUGGUGAGGUAAAAGCUCACCAAGGCUUCGAUGUUUAACUGGUUUUGAGAGGAUGACCAGUCACACUGGGACUGAGAUACGGCCCAGACUCCUACGGGAGGCAGCAGUAAGGAAUCUUCCACAACGGGGCAACCCUGAUGGAGCAAUACCGCGUGCAGGAUGAAGCGUUUCGGCGUGUAAACUGCUUUUAUCACCGAAGAUUAUGACUGUAGGUGGAGAAUAAGGACCGGCUAACUACGUG